AUAGUACUCCAUCUGUUCUGAAUUACUUGUCGUAGAUAUAGAUGUAUCUAAAUAUAUUUUAGUUCUACAUACAUCCAUUUCUGCGACGAGUAAUUUGGAAUGGAGGAAGUACGAG
rnacentral:pre_miRNA from 1 species